AUUGAACGCUGGCGGCAUGCUUUACACAUGCAAGUCGAACGGUAACAGGUUAAGCUGACGAGUGGCGAACGGGUGAGUAAUGCAUCGGAACGUGCCCGAUCGUGGGGGAUAACGCAGCGAAAGCUGCGCUAAUACCGCAUACGAUCUGAGGAUGAAAGCGGGGGACCGUAAGGCCUCGCGCGAUCGGAGCGGCCGAUGUCAGAUUAGGUAGUUGGUGGGGUAAAGGCCCACCAAGCCGACGAUCUGUAGCUGGUCUGAGAGGACGACCAGCCACACUGGGACGGAGACACGGCCCAGACUCCUACGGGAGGCAGCAGUGGGGAAUUUUGGACAAUGGGCGAAAGCCUGAUCCAGCAAUGCCGCGUGCAGGAAGAAGGCCUUCGGGUUGUAAACUGCUUUUGUACGGAGCGAAAAGGCCCUUUCUAAUACAAGGGGCUCAUGACGGUACCGUAAGAAUAAGCACCGGCUAACUACGUGCCAGCAGCCGCGGUAA
rnacentral:rRNA from 1 species